rnacentral:rRNA from 1 species
UACGGAGGGCGCAAGCGUUGUUCGGAAUCACUGGGCGUAAAGCGCACGUAGGCGGAUUUUUAAGUCAGGGGUGAAAUCCUGGAGCUCAACUCCAGAACUGCCUUUGAUACUGGGAAUCUCGAGUCCGGGAGAGGUGAGUGGAACUGCGAGUGUAGAGGUGAAAUUCGUAGAUAUUCGCAAGAACACCAGUGGCGAAGGCGGCUCACUGGCCCGGUACUGACGCUGAGGUGCGAAAGCGUGGGGAGCAAACAGG